rnacentral:rRNA from 1 species
CCUACGGGUGGCAGCAGUGGGGAAUAUUGCGCAAUGGGCGAAAGCCUGAUGCAGCGACGCCGCGUGAGGGAUGAAGGUCUUCGGAUCGUAAACCUCUGUCAGCAGGGAAGAACGUUCACUUUGCUAAUCAACAGUGACUUGCUGGUACCUUCACAGCAAGCACCGUCGAACGCCGUGCCAGCAGCCGGGGUAAUAAGGAGGGUGCGAGCGUUAGUCGGAAUUACUGGGCGUAAAUGGCUCGUAGGCGGGAGGGCAAGUCACGGGUGAAAUCUCCGCGCUCAACGUUGGAACUGCCUUGGAAACUGGAAAACUGGAGUGUAGGAGAGGAUAGUGGAAUUCCAGGUGUAGCGGUGAAAUGCGUAGAUAUUUGGAGGAACACCAGUGGCGAAGGCGACUAUCUGGAACAUAACUGACGCUGAGGGGCGAAAGCGUGGGUAGCAAACAGGAUUAGAUACACCUGUAGUC